rnacentral:rRNA from 1 species
GGGGAAUAUUGCACAAUGGGCGAAAGCCUGAUGCAGCAACGCCGCGUGAGUGAUGAAGGUCUUCGGAUUGUAAAGCUCUGUCUUUUGGGACGAUAAUGACGGUACCAAAGGAGGAAGCCACGGCUAACUACGUGCCAGCAGCCGCGGUAAUACGUAGGUGGCGAGCGUUGUCCGGAUUUACUGGGCGUAAAGGGUGCGUAGGCGGAUGUUUAAGUGAGAUGUGAAAUACCCGGGCUUAACUUGGGUGCUGCAUUUCAAACUGGAUAUCUAGAGUGCAGGAGAGGAGAAUGGAAUUCCUAGUGUAGCGGUGAAAUGCGUAGAGAUUAGGAAGAACACCAGUGGCGAAGGCGAUUCUCUGGACUGUAACUGACGCUGAGGCACGAAAGCGUGGGUAGCAAACAGGAUUAGAUACCCUGGUAGUCCACGCCGUAAACGAUGAGUACUAGGUGUAGGAGGUAUCGACCCCUUCUGUGCCGCAGUAAACACAUUAAGUACUCCGCCUGGGAAGUACGAU